UACGUAGGGUGCGAGCGUUAAUCGGAAUUACUGGGCGUAAAGCGUGCGCAGGCGGUUUUGCAAGCCGGAUGUGAAAUCCCCGGGCUCAACCUGGGAAUGGCAUUCGGGACUGCAAGGCUGGAGUGCGGCAGAGGAGACUGGAAUUCCUGGUGUAGCAGUGAAAUGCGCAGAUAUCGGGAGGAACACCAGUAGCGAAGGCGGCACUCUGGGCCGGUACUGACGCUGAGGAGCGAAAGCGUGGGGAGCGAACAGG
rnacentral:rRNA from 1 species